UGGGGAAUUUUGGACAAUGGGGGAAACCCUGAUCCAGCCAUCCCGCGUGUGCGAUGAAGGCCUUCGGGUUGUAAAGCACUUUUGGCAGGAAAGAAACGUCAUGGGUUAAUACCCCGUGAAACUGACGGUACCUGCAGAAUAAGCACCGGCUAACUACGUGCCAGCAGCCGCGGUAAUACGUAGGGUGCAAGCGUUAAUCGGAAUUACUGGGCGUAAAGCGUGCGCAGGCGGUUCGGAAAGAAAGAUGUGAAAUCCCAGGGCUCAACUUUGGAACUGCAUUUUUAACUACCGGGCUAGAGUGUGUCAGAGGGAGGUGGAAUUCCGCGUGUAGGAGUGAAAUGCGUAGAUAUGCGGAGGAACACCAAUGGCGAAGGCAGCCACCUGGGAUAACACUGACGCUCAUGCACGAAAGCGUGGGGAGCAAACAGG
rnacentral:rRNA from 1 species